ACGCUCGACACCUACGGGAGGCAGCAGUGGGGAAUAUUGCACAAUGGGGGAAACCCUGAUGCAGCGACGCCGNGUGGAGGAAGAAGGUCUUCGGAUUGUAAACUCCUGUUGUUGGGGAAAAAGAGGAUGGUACCCAAACAAGGAAGUGACGGCUAACUACGUGCCAGCAGCCGCGGUUAAUCUGAGGCGGGCUGGCAAGGCNUGNNG
rnacentral:rRNA from 1 species